UACGUAGGUGGCAAGCGUUGUCCGGAUUUAUUGGGUUUAAAGGGUGCGUAGGCGGUUCUGUAAGUCAGUGGUGAAAUCCGGCAGCUCAACUGUCGAUGUGCCAUUGAUACUGCAGAGCUUGAGUACAGACGAGGUAGGCGGAAUUGACGGUGUAGCGGUGAAAUGCUUAGAUAUCGUCAAGAACACCGAUAGCGAAGGCAGCUUACUAGACUGUAACUGACGCUGAUGCACGAAAGUGUGGGGAUCAAACAGG
rnacentral:rRNA from 1 species